rnacentral:sRNA from 1 species
GGUGCCAUACUUUGGAAGAAAUAAUGAGAAUUCAUAUCUGGAGUACCUACCACUUACUGAUGCCUACCAAGACCUAGAUAUUUUGUUGUCUUUCCGACCUGAAUCAACUGAUGGCUUGCUGUUGUACAAUGGACAAUACCCCACUGCUGCAGGAGACUUUGUCUGCUUUGGAUUGCAACAGCAGGUUCCAGAGUUCAGGUUCGAUGUUGGUUCUGGCCCUGCCAUUAUACGAGGUAACAGGUCUCUAGAGCUGAACAAAUGGCAUACUGUGCACCUAAAGCGAUCCAAAAAAAAUGGCACUUUGCUAGUCAAUGAUGAACCUGCUUAUGUUGGUGUCGCUCCUGGGCAGCAUGAAGGUCUAGACCUUGGUGCACCUCUCUACCUCGGCUCUGUUCCAAACUACAGAGAUAUUCCUCCUUCCACUGGUUAUUCCCGUGGCUU